GAUGUGGAUCCAUGUAGACUAGUGACCAGGACUACACAUAUCUUGGAACAGUGAGGAGACUCAGCGGUCUGAGAUUAUGUGAUCUCAGUCCUCUCUCUCGCUCUCUCUCUCUCUGUGUGUGUGUGUGUGUGAGAGAGAGAGAGAGAGAGAGAGAGCAUCCACAGGACUGAGGCAUUUUAAACUUGUGUUAUAUUAGGUCCAGACAGAUGCUUCGUCAGCUCCUGACAUGGACGGUGCAGACUCCGCUGCUGCGCAUCCCGGUGCUCUGAUGGAUCUGCGGUGUAAACACUCGCCGAGCCGAGAGUCGGAGCGACCUGACAGCGGAGUGAUCCGAGCGGGUGUCGGUGCGGUGCUGAGCCGUGUGUCGGUGAUGGAGGAUGAGAGAGACACUUACCGAUGAUCCAGCGGCGGUAGGACUAAGGUCUGAGAGGGAGUCCGGUCUCCGUUAGUCUGUCAACAGCCAGGCCUGCUCUCUACAGGAGGAGGGGCUUAUUCUCUACCUCACCCCUCCCCCUCUCUUUUUUAAACAAAUCUUUAUUUGUAUUUAAAUAUUACACAUGUCGAUGAAGACACUGUGUUUCAAUCGUUACUGGUCUAAAUACCCCUGCGUAGAAAACCACAGCAGACGGGGUUAGAGGUAUGAAUAACAGUACGACAUAUGGAAAAUGUAUAUUCACCUCCAAAUGACAUCACAACUUCAACAUACCUGACAGCUCCACAGGAAUCUGCCAAGACCCUGACCGCAGGAAACCUGAUGGUCUGUGGACAGAGAGAGGAUGUUUCUGUUAUAAAUCCACCGAGGUGUCAAAAAUACAACGGCAGCUCGCCCCCCACCCCUCACAAGCAGAGCUGCUGUCAUAAACAUGACUUCUGUUUUUUUUUUUCUCUGGGGAUCAUGAAAUCAGUGAUUCAGUGGAGAUGACUGAUGGCUUAAGAGUUUAUGGCUUAAAUGACUCCCCCAUCCUCCCAGGUCAGAGGACAGAAGCAGGAAAAUAUGUAGGCUAUGCAGAGGUCAGCCAGCUGUGUGUCUCACUCCUCACCACAUGUAGCUGUGAUGCUGUUAAACUGAGGAGAGUUUGGAUGUUGUUGAGGUGUUUCACUGUGGACAGAGCUCUCUGCUACAAAAACCUGAAAACAUCCAUAUGGACAUGAGUCAUUCUCCUGACAUUUCCGCCAUUUUUUCUGAAAUUAAAGCAACACAAGUCCAGUCAUUAACACUGAGUGGUACAAAGGUCAGGGGUGAACUGCCCAGAGGAAAGAAAGAAAGAAAGAAAGGUUUACAUAUAUUAGGACAACACUGUAGUGCAGGAAGUGGUUCUGUAUAUUACCAUCAGAGUGGUGAGAAAAGGGCAGCAGAGGAGGACAGACUGAGUCCGGUUCUGCUCGAGGUUUCUGCCUCUUAAAAGGACGUUUUUCCUUACCACUGUCGCCUAGUGCUGCUCAUGGUGGGAUCUGUUGGGUUUCUCUCUGUAAAUUUUAUAAGAUAAAGAGUGUGAUCUAGACCUGCUCUAUAUGUACAUUGUCUCGAGAUAACUUCUGCUGUGAAUUGCCGCUAUAUAAAUAAAAUUUGACUUGACUUGA